UUUAGCAGCCAUAUCACCCUGUAGCCCAAGACUGGUUGCCCACUGAAGCUAAGCAGGGCUGAGCCUGGUCAGUACCUGGAUGGGAGACCUCCUGGGAAAACUAGGUUGCUGCUGGAA
rnacentral:rRNA from 1 species